GAUGAACGCUGGCGGCGUGCCUAAUACAUGCAAGUCGAGCGAACGGACGAGGAGCUUGCUUCUCUGAUGUUAGCGGCGGACGGGUGAGUAACACGUGGAUAACCUACCUAUAAGACUGGGAUAACUUCGGGAAACCGGAGCUAAUACCGGAUAAUAUAUUGAACCGCAUGGUUCAAUAGUGAAAGACGGUCUUGCUGUCACUUAUAGAUGGAUCCGCGCCGCAUUAGCUAGUUGGUAAGGUAACGGCUUACCAAGGCAACGAUGCAUAGCCGACCUGAGAGGGUGAUCGGCCACACUGGAACUGAGACACGGUCCAGACUCCUACGGGAGGCAGCAGUAGGGAAUCUUCCGCAAUGGGCGAAAGCCUGACGGAGCAACGCCGCGUGAGUGAUGAAGGUCUUCGGAUCGUAAAACUCUGUUAUUAGGGAAGAACAAAUGUGUAAGUAACUGUGCACGUCUUGACGGUACCUAAUCAGAAAGCCACGGCUAACUACGUG
rnacentral:rRNA from 1 species